GAUGAAGAACGCAGCGAAAUGCGAUAAGUAAUGUGAAUUGCAGAAUUCAGUGAAUCAUCGAAUCUUUGAACGCACAUUGCGCCCGCUAGUAUUCUGGCGGGCAUGCCUGUCCGAGCGUCAUUUCAACCCUCAAGCCCCCGGGCUUGGUGUUGGGGAUCGGCGAGCCUCCGCGCCCGCCGUCCCCUAAAUCUAGUGGCGGUCUCGCUGUAGCUUCCUCUGCGUAGUAGCACACCUCGCACUGGGAAACAGCGCGGCCACGCCGUUAAACCCCCAACUUCUGAACGUUUGACCUAGGAUCAGGUAGGAAUACCCGCUGAACUUAAGCAUAUCAAUAAGCGGAGGA
rnacentral:misc_RNA from 1 species